rnacentral:rRNA from 1 species
CAGCAGCCACGGUAAUACGUAGGUGGCAAGCGUUGUCCGGAAUUAUUGGGCGUAAAGCGCGCGCAGGUGGUUUAAUAAGUCUGAUGUGAAAGCCCACGGCUCAACCGUGGAGGGUCAUUGGAAACUGUUAAACUUGAGUGCAGGAGAGAAAAGUGGAAUUCCUAGUGUAGCGGUGAAAUGCGUAGAGAUUAGGAGGAACACCAGUGGCGAAGGCGGCUUUUUGGCCUGUAACUGACACUGAGGCGCGAAAGCGUGGGGAGCAAACAGGAUUAGAUACCCCCGUGUCCCUGUCUCUUAUACA